GUGUAUCUGACAAUAACUAAUCUCUCUGAAAUGAAGUGCUUAUGUUGUUCAAGCCUUGAGUCUUAUAAAGACUUUUUUCCUUCUUUUCUGAAAUCACUUGUAUUCGUAGAUUGUCCGAAACAUAAGUAAUUGCCAGACAGGUUGCCUUCCACUUUGGAAACACUGGAAUUUGAUGACUGUCCAAGACUUGGGUUAUUGCCAAGACAUGGGUUUCCUUCCUCUCUUAAGGUGCUGAGCAUUAGCCGAUGCCCGCUUUUAAAAGCAAGGUAUGCCACUCCGAGAAGGGGUCAUGUGUCCAAGAUCGCUCACAUCCCUGUAGUAAAAAUAAAUUAUGAAGUGACAAUAUGAGCCAUGGGAAAGGAAAAGAAGAAUUGCACUUCCAUUUCAGAAGAGAAUGUAGACAAUGUAUUUUCACGCAUAAUCAAAACUGUAACGCAUCCUGCCCAAGCAAAAUUAUCCUUCAGGAUAUUUUUGUCAGACAUUGAGCAAACAAUGUGCCAAUCUUCCUCAUUGGGGAAUCCGUGUUAAUAAUCAAAUGGCUGAAUAUCCAUAUUGUCAAUUCAUCCCUGCUGGUCAGUGUGUCUCCUCAUGAUGAUGCCCCCGAGGUAUGCAAUUCCUCACUUAAUUAGCUUGAAACUCUUUUCUCUGCUCUUUGCCUCGUUUUUAUUGCAAGAAGACGAUUG